GUCCAUUCCUUAACUUACUUUAUAAAAACUAUUUGAAAUAGAUGAGAUCUUUAUAUAAUGAGUAUGAAAAAACUGAAUGUUGUGCAUAUUUCAUCUUGUUGACAUGUUGUUUAAUACUAACUUUUGAUAAGUUCUUUUCGAGUUUUGAAGAAGGUAUAAUCAGUUUUUGGAAAAGCUAGCGUUGGGAAAGAUUCACUUUUAUGAUAGAUGUCAAAAACAACUGUUUGCCGCACUAUAGGAAAAUUAAAAUACCUCAAGGAAUAAAAAAUUAAAAUACCUCAAGGAAGGAACAAAAAAGAACAUUAUGUCCAACCAACAGAACCUAGACGCCAUAUUAAGUUCGUGUCCAUUCCUUAACUUACUUAAUAAAAACUAUUUGAAAUAGAUGGGGUCUACAUAUAUUGAGUACGAAAAAACUGAAUGUUGUGCAUAUUUCAUCUUAUUGAUAUAUUGUCUAACACCAACUUUUGAUAAGUUCUUUUUGAGUUUUGAAGAAGGUAAUAAUCAGAUUCAGAGCAUUGGUCGUAUGUUAAUAUGCUGAUAUAUCCUUGUGUAUUUCCGCUUUACUUUAAAAAGGAAUCCAUCAUGAACGGUGCAUGAACUGACGCUUUAUAGAUCAUAAACUAUAUAUACUUCAUAGAUAUACAAACACAGAUUUCUUGAAAGCAUUUCAUCAUACAGACAAAAAAUAACAACCUUUGGUUCCAGACAAACCUAGAAAUCCUUGCAUGCAACAAUGAAAAUUUGUGUCAUUGGACAUUGGUUAUGAAAGUCGUGGAAUCGCAUCGAAAAUUCAUAUACAUGUGCAUGAAAUCCAUUAUCCUCAUCACUGAUCCUCAUGCAUAUACCACACAAUCCUGCACUCAUCCUCGAGUGAGUCUUUACAAUUACAUCAUUUUCACAUAUUUACAAUUC